GGGAGCACUGAGGGGUUGGGGAGUGCACUCCCUAGGGGUAGGGUAGGCGGAUACAGGGAGGAGGACUUCUUUGAGGAAUGGUUGGAGUUCAGGUGGGGAGAAGCGGACACACAUUCCGGGCAGAGACAGUUCUAGCAGAAGAGUCUGGGGACAAGAAAGUAUGUAGUGUGUUCAGGGAAAGGGCAUGAAAUGUGUCUGAGAUGCAGGGUGGGAAAAGAGGGGUGCGGGAGGGAGGAAACAGGGCAGGGCUUUCGGUGCCACCAUAGGGAGUGUGACUUCUCCUGAGGUUGAUGGGGAACCCUGCAGGGUUCGAAGCAGGGGAGCGAUGUCAUCAGGUGUGGGUUCUAGAGAGAUCGCUGUGGCAGUAGGUAGAGAGGACAGAUAAAAGGAAGGAAAAAGAGAGGACUGAUUGAAGUUGUCACAGUGAGUUGAAGGUGGUCUAAACGAAGGCAAUGGCAAGGGAGCAGGACAGGGGGACAGAUGGGAGAGAGCUUUCUGAAACAGAACAGCAAUACUUACAGUAGAACAGUUUGGGGGAGAGAAGGUAAGGACAACUGAAUUUUCUGGCUCUGGAACCUGAGGUAGACAGUGACAGCAUUAACUGGGAUGGGGGACCCAGGAAAGGAGCAGGGUGAGGUCACCUUCAGGGUACCUGUCAGACAUCCAUUUCUUCAAGAGCUCUCUGUACUAGGCCCCUGGAUGUGGGAGUAGAUAAGGCCCAACCUCAUCCACAGGAGGCUAGAGGGAGAGAGAAGAGAGAAUAUUGUAUUAGGAAGCUUCGGUUGUAAGUGACAGAAACUCAGUUCAAACCAGGCUAAGGGGGGAAAAAUUGAAAAGGAAAAGGAGAGAUUGAGAAUUUAGUGGCUCCUUUACCUUGGAGUUACAAGGGCAUGUCAACUUCAGGCGUUGCUGGAUCCAGGGUUCCUAAUAGGGUGGAGAGGAAGGUUCUACCCUCAGGGGGCUCCUUGUGUUAUCUCCCCUCCACCCCAUCAGUCAGUUCUGUUUGUUUCCGCCUGUCUUUAAGAAUGGGCCUCUUUCUAGCCCACGGCAGACGGGCCCUCUCCAGUCCCAGGAAGGAUGCUCACAUGUCCACACACUGUCAGCUCACACUUCAGAAGGAAAGGCCAGUGGCCCUACUGGCUGUGUGGACCGACAGUCCCAGGAAGGGCUCUGAUUGACCCAGUGGGCAUCACCCGCCCAGCCCCCGCCCAGUCACUGUACCAAGGAGAAUGUGGCACUGUGGUUGGCCUCCUUGCCCUUCCCAGCUUGUAGGGCCCUGUGAUGGACAUCCCGCCGGCCCCCAUGGACAGGAAAUGAGAAGGACUGGGGAUACGCCAGAUGGGCACGACGAACUACAUCCCUGCCUCCGUUCAGCCCGAGGCUUGAGGGCAGAACCCUGGGGAACACCGAUGUUGAACAGAACUUGGGAAGGAGACUGAGGAGUAUGAGAGGGGUUCUGGGUCUUCAAGGCAGGAGAGAAGUUCUGCAAGGAAGGAACGGGCAGAGGCAAGUUCUGGAAGGGACGACAGGCUCCUGCUGUUCUGGGCUCCACCCACCCAAGUGGAAAGGCCCCCCCCCCCCCCCCCCAAUUCAGCCAAUACAGGUGCUACCCCCUGCCCCCAGCAGAGCCUGUUUCCCUAUUUGGGAAAUGAGGAUUCCAACAGAACACUCCCCCCAGCCGUGGCUGAGGGGCAUGAGUGAGCUGGCGCUGAGAAAUGCUUACCUCGGUGCCUGGCACCUGGUAAGGGCUCAAUAAAUGGGAGCCACGUAAGGUGCUGGUGGAAGAUACGGCGGUAAUAAUGGCACGCAGAUUCCUGCUGUCCUGGGAGGGCGGAAAGUACGCUGAUAAAUUCAGCAUCACUGAGAUACCGUUCAUUCAGUCAGUCUUUAAUGGAACACCUGCUGUAUACCGGUCCCUAUGCCAGACACAGCAGAUGGCAAGAAGGCUAGAACGCAAGAGUCUGAGGUAGUGUGGGACAGACACAGCUAAUAGUUAGGCUGUAAGGUCAUAAGCACCAUAGGGACUGGGCUGUGGGAGCCCAGAGAAACUCGGUCCUGUGGAGGCGCGAGGGCAGCGCCCCGAGAAGGCAGAAUUUGACCUGGGUCUGAAGGACGCUGGUGAAGGACGGAAACAGCUGACAUUUCACAAGUGUUCAUAGAGGAUCGGGUACUAGGUCGGGUAUCUAUUUCCACGCAUGAGGUAGGGGGCGUUGUCCCUGUUACGUGGAUGGGGGCGGGGGGCCCAGGCUUGCUCAGAGUCACUUGCUUGUAAGUGGGGGCACCGGGCCUGGCCCAGGGGCCUGACCCCACUGGAUGGAGGAGAGAGGAGAGAUAGGAGGUCAGGCAGAGGGGAAAAAGUGUGACCCAACCGUCCGGGAGGGAGAGAGGGAGCCAGGAUUCCCGCACAGGGAACGUCACGCCUCUGAGAGUGUGGGGCAGGGACAGUAGAACAAACAUGAGGUGGGAGCCGUGACCUCCAGCAAGUGUGGCGCCCCCUGGAACCUACCUCUCCUUAUUUGUAAAAUGGGGACAAGGAAGUCUGUUAUCUUCAUCCCCAUUUUACAGAUGAGGAAACUGAUUGUUAGAUCGAGACCGUCUGGCUGCAGGGCCCACAUGCUAAGCCACAACACCAUGGUUCUGUUGGAGCCGAUGAGCUGUGAGAGUUCACUGCAAACCCUCCUCUCUGCCUCAAGGGUAGUCAUGAAGAGCACCCCAAGGGAAGUGGGGAGCCUCCACAGGAAGAGCCCUCAGAGGACCCCAGAAGACAGUCCUGUGCUCUUAUGCAGAAAUCCGAUCUCUUAAGGCCCUUAGAGACUAUUUCAUUCAUGCAUUGGGGGGAUGACGCAUGUAACUUACAAAUAGGGAAACAGCCCAGAAAGAGGGAAGUGACUGGUCCAAGGCCACACAACGAGCUGGUCGCGGAGAGCCAUCUAGAACGCAGGUUGCCCGACACCUGGUCCUGUGCUCUUUCUCCAUUCCAAAGUCCUCUCGUCACAAAUGACCUCUCCUCUGUCUACAGGGCGGCAAUCUCUCCCAGUGCCGAACACCUAGUGCGGACCAGGCACUUCAUCUGCCUGUCUCUGGUCUUCCAGACUACCCUGUGAAGUAUUAUCCACGGCAGCCAGGAGACCUAGAAGUACGCACAGAUAAGACCUGGUUUACUGAUAGCACAUUACAAAGCGUACCAAGUAAUCGUGCAUCCAGACUCCCCCGCCCUAUAAAUCAUACAAUCCGAUUUCACAGAAGAGAGAACUGAGGUUCAGAGAUGGGAAAAGUCUGCCUCAGGGGCUCCCGGCUAGGAAGCAACAAGGUGAGGACUAGUGUGCGGGCAUUUCUGACUCCAAAGCCAGGGUGUCUUGUCCCCGCCCCAAUCUGCUGUCAGGUAAAAGAUGGCAGGACUUGCCGAGGGAGCUGAAGGGUGACGGCUGGAGGGGCUGAUCCCCAAUGAUGAGCGAGGUAACAGUUCUCACAGUGGCUAAACAAAGAGCCCUUGCAGUCCGGCUGCCUGGGUUCGAGUCUUGUUCUGUCCCUUCUUAGAUCUGUGCCCUCAGGCAAGGCACUGGUCCUCCCUGAGCCUCAGUUUCCUCGUCUGUAAAUGGGGAUGGUAAUAAUGUUGCCCACCUCGCUGUGUUGUUGGAGGGUUAAAUUAGAAGCGUGUGGCACACAGCAAGCACAGUGAAAGUCUUGCCUCUUAUUUGCUGGCACCUUGUAUGACAUUUGGUAGAGGCCUCCUGUCUCGUCUACUAUUAAUACUGCCUUUAUAGCACUGCGUGUUCCGGAGCCUGGCCACCUGGGCUCCGCCACUUGCUAGCUGUGUGGUCUAGAGCUUAGAGGGAGACUGAAGGUCAGGCUCAUGAAGUUUAUGCCUUGGGUCGCUCCCUUGCGAGGCCUUGUGCAUCAUUUUGUAUUCAUAAUUUCCUAUUAUUUUUCUUACCGGGGUUCCCCAGUGUGGUAUACGCUCUACUCACAUCCUGCAAAAUGUGGAUCCGCCCCUGUGUGCGCAACACGCUCGGCCUCUCCGGUGCCUCAGUUUUCUCAUCUGUUAAGUGGAAAGAGUGUUACGGUGCUGAUGAAGUGAAUGAAUACGUUUAGGACGCUUGACAAGUGCCUGGCACGUUGUUAAGUCCCCGAUAGCUGUCGGCUUCUCAAGUAAAUCUCCAGCUAGUGAAUAUGCUAAAUGCUAGUAAAUGUGCUUCGUGGUUUACAUUGGUCAUGUUAUUUAAUUAUGCUUAAUUGUCACAACAACCCCUCCCAUUUUACAGGUGAGAAAACAGAGGCUCGGAGAGGUGAGGUCACAGAGCUUAGAAGCCACACGGGUCUGAUGAUGCCAGGGCCAUGCCCCUUAACUAUUGCCCUGAUACCUCCCUGUUUAUGAGGGGCGCCUGGCAGCUGAACCUGAAGGAUCACACCGCAGCCAGGCACUGCCUGCCAGGUCACUUGCAGGGAAUCCAUGAAGCCCCUGCCGGGGAAGAGCUCCUCAUCCCCCCCAAGUCCAGCUGGGCCCCCCUGGCUCUGCCACACCUAGUGCCCUCGUCCCUCCUGCCCCCUAGAGCUUCCUCUUGAGCCCCUGUCACCAGAGGCCCUGGCCCAGGUGGGGCGGGGGCCAACGGGUGACAAUGACCGAUUUAGAAAGUAAAGUUGCUUCUCAAACAAAUAAGAAAGAAGAGGAAAGAAAGAAAUGGCCUGCCCGCUUCCUGCCCCACUCUCUCUCCCAGCACCUGGGGCCCAGCUGUGAGCUUUUCACUGCUUGUUUGUUCAUCCUGCUCAAGGAGCCUCUUCUUAAAGCUCCAGGCCCCCUCCACGGGGGCGGCGGGAUGACUGUGGAGCCCAUGGAAAUAAGCACCCUCCAUGAUUGUUGUAUUGUCGCCCGUCUAGAGUAUUGUUUUGGACAACAAUACCAAUAAUCAUAACAAUCUGGGUUUCCUGCAGUUGGCAGAGGGGGGGUUACGGGCUUCGACUUGGGUGUGGCCGUCCUGGCUGCGAUUUCUGAGGUGUGAAGGCCUGCGCAGGUCAUUAGCUCUCUCUGGGCCUCAGUUUCCUUGCCUGCAAAGUGGGAAUGGGGGCAUGGUGAGCGCCGGAGGAGGCAAGCAAGAGCGCGUACCACGCAGGGCACGGCCGCUGCUCAGUCGGUUACCAAAGCCAGGGUCACCCAAGAGCACGACUUUAAGAGCCUCCCCAGACGGGGUGGGAAAACUCGGUGGACUAGGAGGGGGUGAUAAUGCCUGUUGUGUUCUAGCCUCCGUUGUAAGGGCUUUAUGUACAAUAACUCACUUCAUCCUCACCACGCCGCGUGCGUGCAUACUGCCACCCCUGUGUUACAGAUGAGAUGAAGACACCCAAGAGUGAUUUGCCCAAGGUCAGUGCAUCCGGCAGGUGCAGAGCCAGGCCGAACCCAGCCUGUCCCACUCCAAAACCGGCGCUCUUCUUAGGGGCAUACGCUGCCCCGGGGGGAGGUCUGGCUGCAUAGGGUCUGCUUUGCUGCGUCACUGUGGACAAGCCCUUUCCUUCUCAGCCUCAGUUCUUGCUCUGCAAGCUGAACAGCCCACGGUACCUGCCUCCAGACAGCAUACAGCCCACAGGAAAAGUCAUGGUCAGAUUUAGUGACCGUGUAGAGAAAGACAACGAAUGAACAUAUCAGGGGCUCUGGAAGCCACGGCUGCCGCUGCCGUAAUUAUUAUUAGUUUUAGAGUCACAGGCGAGAGUCAGCCUAGAGGAUGCUGAGGGCCCUGCCCAGCUCUGCAAAUCUAAAUCCUGUGGUUGCAGCUGGGGAGUGACUCUAGGAGGCACCUGGUGAGAGGUGGCUCUACCCGUUGGGGCUAAAAUAAUCCCUGAGGCUGCCACCAUGCAAUCUGCCACUCACCUGCUCUAAUUAAUGGCAAACUCACCAACCCUGCCUCUCUGCCUCACUCCCAUCCCCCACGAGCUGUGUGGCCCUGGAGAAAUCACUCGACCUCUCUGAGACAGGAAAAGGACAUGACCCUGCAGAAUUUUGAUGGAUUAGAGAUAAUGCAGACAGAGUACUCAGCACAGUGCCUGAUGUGUAGUUGAGAAGAGGUGAUGAGAACCUGAGUUUGGGGGCCGACCCGCGUUCCAUUCCCGGCUACACCAUUUCCUAUUGUGUACCCUCGGGCAAGUUCCUUGCACUCUCUGAGCCUGGAAAAUGGGUUAGCACAGCACCCGGCACACAGUAGUUGUUUACCUAAUGAUUGUGGUUGGUGGUGACCGUGUCUUGCCCUCUAUAAAGAUGUCCAGAGGCCUUCAAAGAUCCCAGGGGUAUAAUGUUCUCCACAGUGCUGCGUUUCUCUGUUUGCCCCUCUAGAACUCCCCUCUGCCCUUCUCCAUCCUGUUCUGUGCCCUGGCAGGUGAACUCUGGGGUGCCAUCAAUGGCCUCUUUUGCCCUCUGGUUCUGGUUGGGUGGGGCAGGAAGGCAGAGGGCAGGUGGAGAAUGGGGCAUAGUGAUUCCCCCAGCCCCUUGCUACAGGGUCGCACGGGUUGGCUGUGUCCCUCACCCAAAGGCUCUGGCUCCUGGUAGGCGACCCCGUGCAUACAUCUCUGGCCCUGAGUCCGGGUCGCUUCUCCCUCUUCACCCUUCAGGCCAUGGGUGGUAACGGCCCCCCCGCUGUGGCCAGCCCUGGGAUACUGCACCAUCCCUCCCGGUCUCCCUGAAUCCUGCCUGCGACUUUGGUAAUAGUCUCUUGAUUAAACCCUCUUCAAACUUCUCAACUUGAGUGUACCGUCUGUUUCCUGCCAAGGCCCUGCUCAUGGUUUUACUGUGACCUGUAUCCUGUUGUAUUCGUCAAGGACUCCAGGUAGAAUAGCAAAACUUCACCCUGCUUUCACAUGUACAUACGUAUCCACUUGAGUAACUUUGGCUGAGUAUCUGCUGUGUGCCGGGCCCCGUACAGGCAGCCGGGAGCAGAGAUAACCGAGCUAGAGCUCCUGACCCCAAGGAGUUCAUGGACUAGAUGGGGAGACAGACGCCUAAACAGACAACCACAAUAUUUGCUAAGAAGCCGUUAUAGAAGCGUGUUCAAACCCUGAGGCAAGAGAAACCCUCAAACUCUGAGGGAGGCUGGGAAGGCUGCAUAGCAGAGGGACCUCCUCAAAGGUAAAAAAAAUUCUUAAUAACAUUUUGUCUAACCCAAUAUUUCAAGGUAUUAUCAAUGUAUAAUAUCACUUAAAAGUGAUACAAAAGUCCUUAAGAAUUUUAACAUUUUUUCCCCUAAGUCUUAAACAGUCCAGUGCGUGUUUUACAUGCACGGCACGUCUCCGCUCGGCCGGUCCCCGUUUCAGGUGCUCAGGAGCCACAGGGGGCUGUUUCCCCCCACUUUACAGAUGAGGAAGCAGAGACUCAGGAGUUAAGUCACUUGUCCGAGGUCCCACUCCCCGAUGGGGGCAUGAUGUGAACCCACGUCUCCGUAGCUCCAAAGCCUGUCUCUUCCCGCUGCCCUGUUCCGUCUCUGGGCCAACCCCUGCUCCCCAGAGUGAAGACUUGGCCGAGGGCUAAAAAGUUAAAACUUCACCUGAGGUGAACUUCACCUCUGACCCCAAAUCCUGUAAUGUUUCUACAUCGGUUGAGUCCAUGGGACAGAGUGGGGGAGGGUAACCCACCAAACUGGGUUCUGACCCCUGUUGGGUCUAGGGUGCCUGGGAGGGCGUGAAGAUAGGCUGGCAGGAGAGAACUGGGGACGACUGGUGAGUUGUAAGAGUCUCUUGCCGGGGGAGCUGUUAAUGGCUGGAAGGCACGGCCUGCGUUGGACGGGAGGUCUGCAGAGGUAACAGACUAGGCUCACCAGACGGUAGCCAGCAGGUCAACUUGGCGUCUUCGCCUCCACCACACUCAGCGGUUCCUCCCUAGGCAAAACGCCGUAUCAUCCAGAAACACCCACUCCUGCGUAUGUAGGGUCACAGUGAAUAAGUCACUGUCAUUUUCACACCGAUGCGGGGGAAAUUUCGAUGGGAUGAUAAAGGUAAGGCCUUCUUCUUCUUCUUUUUUUUUUAAUAUUUAUUUAUUUUUGAGAGACAGAGACAGAGCGUGAGUCGGGGAGAGGCAGAGAGAGAGGGAGACACAGAAUCCGAAGCAGGCUCCAGGCUCCGAGCUGUCAGCACAGGGCCCGACGCGGGACUCGAACCCACGAACUGUGAGAUCAUGACCUGAGCCCAAGUCAGAUGCUUAACCGACUGAGCCACCCGGGCAGCCCGGUAAGGCCUUGUGAUGGGCAGCUUAUCCAGGCUCUCGUGUGGAGAGAGUCCUGGGAGGAUUCUUAGACCCACGUCCGUGCUUUGGAGGAGAAACCAGAGCCAUGGAACGUUGGCUGCGAGUAGGGGAGGUCCCUGGCAAGCCCGGGGUGUGUGUGAUGCUAAAAACCGUGAUCAGUAGCUGAGUAUUCAACACCCACCAAUUCACUUUCAUCAGCUGUCCACCUGCCGGUAGAAUCAUCAUCCAACCAUCCAUCCGUCCACUGUCCACUCCUCCAGCAUCCAUCUCCCAAUUCCCUCAUUCCCCCCUCUCCCCAUUCACUCACUUCCCUCCAGUCCUGUCCCCCCCCUCCCCCCCAUCCCUCACCACUGACUCUGCACCUGGUCCUGUGCUGGAUGCUCAGUGUGCAACGAGUAAGACUGCGAUCUUCCUUCAAACCCAGGGAGGCAGGCAGACGCUUCGUCUACGCGAGGGAGGUGAAUGUGGUGGUGGAGGGUUCUAGGAGGUCUGAGAUUUCAGACCUGGAAGACCUAGACAGGCAUCAGAGUUAGUCCCGCGAUGCUAAGUCUGGGAAACCGAGGUCUAGAGAGGAGAAAAGACAUGCCAAGUCACAGAGUCAUGGGGGGCGGGGGUGAGCUCAGGUCUCACUCCCAUUUCCCUGUUCUUUCCGCCAGACUCUAGGCCCCACUUCCCCAUCCAUACUCAGCAACACUGGAGGCCAAGCGCUCUCAACCCCUUAGUGCCUGGCACGGCCCUGGGCCUGGGGAAGGGGAACUUCCCUGUUGCCACGGCACGCCUGCGCUGUCCCCACGGACAAUCAGAUUGGUAGAGCUUUCUCGUGCUCUUCCCAUCGUCCCACGGAAAACCCACCACAGUUCCGGAGGACUGGCAUCACCACCCCUUUUUACAGAAAAGGGGGCUCGGAGGGGGGAAGGGGCCUGCCUAGAGUCACACAGCUCGAGUGCAGCGGAGCCAGCAUCCUGAGUCACCAUUCUGAACCCGAUCUGAGACACCAGGCGGCACCUCACGUAGCCUUGAAUGUUCUGGCCCCAGGCCGAUGUUGUGCCAUUGAAGUCAGGGGCUGCUGACAGGUAGGUUCGGCAGGGACGGGAACGUUGGGGGAAGGACCCUGAAAAGGAAACCCCGGAGAUUGUUUUCACCUGGAAGGGCUCCGCCCCGCCCAGCAAUGGAAAAUGUGUGUCAGAGGAAGCCGCUGGCUGGGGAUGGGGUAGGUGUGCGUGGGUGAGCAUUUGGAGGGGCACAACGGGGGAGGGGCAGGAUGCGCUGGGGUUGGUGGGCAAGGUCGGGGUGCCGGAGCGGGGCGCGGGCUCUGCCCUCUGCCCACUGCCUUUUUCUCUCUGGUUCUCGCUUUCUUUCUCAUGCUCUCAGAACUAACAAUACAACUUUCACUUCCAGACAGAUGGGCCGACUGUCCUAUGAAAGCUGUCCCCACGCCCUACCUCCCAGAUCCCCUUGGCCAAUUCGCUCUGCUCGGUAGUUACCGCAGCAAGCAUUUAUUGCGCUCCUGCUGCAUGCUCAGAUGCAGGCAUGCAGGAUGGCCUCUUCCCUGCCCAGAGAAGUGCACAACCUGGUGAGGACAGAAAUAUGACGAGACAGGGCCAUUGUGACAAGGUACCGCAAAGCAAAGCUGGGGUUAAGACAACACGGACUUAUUCACUCUCUGUUCUGGAGGUUCGAGGAUUGAAAUCGAGAACAAAAGGAGUCUCCAGCAGCAGAGGAUUGUAAACCUCCAGCCCCGAGUGAGCGGCUAGUUCCCGGGUCAAUAAUUGUGAUGAUC